AUUCCAUGAUGAGGGCACUCCCGUAAUAAUUCUUUGUCCCUUUCUCAUGCCUCAUACAAGGACUUGCCAUCCAUUUGUUGGAAAAUAGUGAUUUCAGUCUUCAACUU
rfam:Gossypium raimondii Chr02_contig_1120, whole genome shotgun sequence.